rnacentral:tRNA from 1 species
GCCCUCUUAGCUCAGUUGGUAGAGCACUUCCAUGGUAAGGAAGAGGCCUCCGGUUCAAGCCCGGAAGAGGGCU